CCCGGUGAACUCAGAUGGUAAGGGAUCUGCCUGCAAUGCAGGAGACCCAGGUUUGAUCCCUGGGUCUGGAA
rnacentral:tRNA from 1 species